AAAAAGUAAAAUAAAACGAAAGAUUUUAAUUAAAUUUCUCAAAGAAAAAACAUACUAAAUGAAGCUUAAGAGUUUAGUAAAAUCUCACACGUGGUAGAAGAGCAUCGUAUGAUAGGGAGAAGGAGGAUUGAAAAAGACUCUGGACGAAAUACGAGAGAGAAUGUUGGCAUGAGUAGCGAGAUGUGUGUGAGAAUCACACAGGCCGAAAACCCAAGGUUUUCCAAGGAAGGUUCGUCCGCUUGGAGUAAGUCGGGGCCUAAGGAGAGGCAGAAAUGCGUAUCUGAUGGAUAACAGGUUAAGAUUCCUGUACCUACGCUUAUCGCCAAAGAGGAGAAGGAAUGACGCAGGAGGAUAAGAUCAGCGCACGGUUGGAAGAGUGCGUCCAAGCAGUAAGGCAGGCAUAUAGGCAAAUCCGUAUGCUGUAAAUGUUGAGCUGUGACGGGGAGAGAAGUUAAGUAUCGAAGGAUCUGAUUUCACACUGACAGGAAAAGUUUCUAUCCAGAUAAGAGUAGCCCGUACCAAAACCGACACAGGUGGGUAAGGUGAGAAACCUAAGGCCAGCGAGAGAACUGUUGUUAAGGAACUCGGCAAAAUGACCCCGUAACUUAGGGAUAAGGGGUGCCUUAGAGAUAAGGCUUCAAGAAAAAGGCCCAAGCGACUGUUUACCAAAAACAUAGGUCUCUGCGAAACCGCAAGGUGAAGUAUAGGGGCUGACGCCUGCCCGGUGCUGGAAGGUUAAGAGGAGAUGUCAGGCAACGAAGCAUUGAAUUUAAGCCCCAGUAAACGGCGGCCGUAACUAUAACGGUCCUAAGGUAGCGAAAUUCCUUGUCGGGUAAGUUCCGACCCGCACGAAAGGCGUAACGAUUUGGGCACUGUCUCAACAACAGACUCGGUGAAAUUGUAGUACCGGUGAAGAUGCCGGAAACCUGCGACAGGACGGAAAGACCCCAUGGAGCUUUACUGUAGCUUAGUAUUGAAUUUAUGUAAUUAAUGUACAGAAUAGGUGGGAGGCGAAGAGAUUAGGUCGUCAGAUUUAAAGGAGCCGCCUUUGGGAUACCACCCUUUGAUUAUGUGAGUUCUAACCGGAAUCUUUGAAGCAAGGUACGGGACAGUGCUUGGCGGACAGUUUGACUGGGGCGGUCGCCUCCCAAAGAGUAACGGAGGCGUCCAAAGGUUCCCUCAGCAUGGUCGGAAAUCAUGCGAAGAGUGCAAAGGCAAAAGGGAGCUUGAUUGCGAGACCAACAAGUCGAGCAAAGACGAAAGUCGGGCUUAGUGAUCCGGUGGUAGAAAGUGGAAUUGCCAUCGCUCAACGGAUAAAAGCUACCCUGGGGAUAACAGGCUGAUCUCCCCCAAGAGUUCACAUCGACGGGGAGGUUUGGCACCUCGAUGUCGGCUCAUCGCAUCCUGGGGCU
rnacentral:rRNA from 1 species